CAGCUCUGAAUAAUACCUCGCGGGCCUUCCACUCCUGCCUCCCAGAAAGCAGUCGGCGGCGAUGACCAAGUAAAUGCGUGUGAAGCCAGUGACUCUGAAGUCCGUCAUAUUGAAUUUAUUCAGUUUUCCUCAAGUCUUCAAGCGUGAAGUGUUGCAAACCUUCAUAUGGACACUGGGGAAAGAAAGGAUGAAAAAAAAAAAGCUCCAAGGCAAGGCCUAAGGAAAAGCCUGUGAAAGAAAACGGGGGGCACAAAUCAAUCAUUCGUUACAUGACACAUGGCAACAGCCAGAGAAGAUAAAAAUCGGAGGAAGAGUUGGGAGCUGGAAGCCAUGGACAGAGGGCCACAUCAGGCA